UACGUAGGUGGCAAGCGUUACUCGGAAUCACUAGGCGUAAAGCGCAGGUAGGAGGUUUGGUAAGUCUGUUGUGAAAGCUCCCGGCUUAACUGGGAGAGGUCAACGGAAACUACUAGGCUAGAGUGUGGUAGAGGAAGAUGGAAUUCCCGGUGUAGCGGUGAAAUGCGUAGAUAUCGGGAGGAAUACCUAUGGCGAAAGCAGUCUUCUGGACCAUCACUGACUCUGAUCUGCGAAAGCUAGGGGAGCAAACAG
rnacentral:rRNA from 1 species